GGUGCCAAAUUCGGCCUGCAGUUUGGGUGAUCCUGUUCUGGGGAAAGAAGGGCUGCCGUGGAUCGUGGAGGCAGCAAGCCUUGUAGAUCUUCAAAGACAGGUCAAAGCCUCUGGUUCCACUCUGGCGGAAUGAAACACCCCAGCCUGGCUGAAUUCAGGAUGGACACAUUGGUGGAACUUUUGGCCGUGUGCUGAAGAUGGAAAGCCUGCUGAAGGCCAAGACGAAGUUUUCUCAGUACUGGGCUGAGGAUAAAGGCCCUUCCCAAGGAUGCUGAUCUAUUACAAAUACCAAGAUAGAAAACUUAUAUUAACUGAUUCUCCCCAGAGGAAGAAUGAAGGACACCCAGCACUCACUUUGAUCUGUCUCAUGGGAAAGCCAAAGAAAGUGUGUCUGGGAAAGACCUUGGUGGGCAUUCAACAGAUACCUGCUACAUGUUCUUUCUAAGGGGACUGCAAGUUUGAAUAGGGCCAAACUAGUCAGGAAGCCAGGAGGGAAAUUGCCUCCACCUUCAGCAAGCAGAGCAGACAUGGCCUCUACAUACGUGUCCAAAUGUGUUUGAGGGACACCACGCCAUGAGCCUGACUGGGCUCUCACAGGUCUCCGUCUGCCCUGGUAGCUGUACUACAAACACAGCAUGUUCUUGGUUCAUCUUUUUAAAAAUAAAGGAAUGA